rnacentral:tRNA from 2 species
GCCCCCGUAGCUCAGCUGGAUAGAGCAACGGAUUCCUAAUCCGUAGGCCAGGCGUUCGAAUCGCCUCGGGGGCACCA